GAAAAAUUGGAGGCUGAGAGACUCUAUGAAGAGGAGAGGCUAGCCAAUGAACAAGCAAGGGCUUCAUUCUUGAAGCUGCUACAUGAAUGCCAAGUUCUUCGACAGCGCUUUGAGGAGUGCAACAUUAAUUUCGUCAACGAAAACAAAGAUGACCUUGUCAUGGAUCAUGUCUCAUGCUCAGAUGCCUUGGAUCUCCUCACAACCUAUGACAACCAAAUCAACUUUCUCCUUGCAGAGGUGAAGACAGAUGAAGGAACAGAUU
rnacentral:misc_RNA from 1 species